rnacentral:lncRNA from 1 species
CCUUCAUAUUUCGUCCACAUAAUUAUAUGGUGCUGCGUCACCUUUUAAGUUUGGGCUAGGCCCAUGUAAUUUUCGUCCACAUACAUGGGCUGAACUUUUGGAGUCCGUAUAGGUGAAGGAAACCAACCUAGAGUGGGUUUCGGCCUCCUUUCCCAAGGCUGGCCGCAUACCCCUCUAGUCCUCCAUAUAUACCCCCGUUAGGUCUUCGUUUAGACUCGGAUUUUGUUUAGUUUGAGACUUAGCUAUUCGCUACUCUUCGCCAUAGGCACAAGUGUCAAAUCGACCUUCUGUACUACAUGCUUGCAGAAUCCCAUCAAUAAAGCUUCACCUUUAUUCGCAGUAUCUUGAUUGCAUCUAUAGUUCUUGCUUGUUCUUCAGUUGCAUGCAGGGAUUGAUCCUUCGUGAUCAGGUUGAUCUAGCUCCGACGUGGUCAAUAACCUCAGAAGUUGGUGUAGCGAUCGCUAAGGCGCAACGUCUCGCACGUUUGUAGCCGGUUCGUCAACGUCGACAUCCACCCAAAAAUCGAUAGCUACCGUCUCAUCGAAAGAUCGGGCACCUUUCCCCUAUCAAGUGGUAUCAGAUUUCAGGUUGCUCGGUGAGAUCUUACUGUUUUCCUAGCUUAGUUGCAUCUGAUUUAUUCCUACAGUCCACGAAAAAGCCAAAAAAAAAAUUAGGGUUAGAUCUUGUCCUACAAACAAUUUCAAGCCUUUGCAUCUUAUCUUUCAGUACGUGCAUUGUAGAAUUUUAGUCUGCAUCGUCGUGUUGAGUGUUGGUUUUAGAGUCUAGACCUUUAGAGUUUCGAGUUCUGUUCAUAGCCGUCACGCCGCCGUCACACCGCCUCGCCUCGCUCGCCGAUCUUCCACGCCACCACAUAUCCCUAACCGUAUCAAUUUCGGUUCCACUUACCUUCUGCCACCAAUUCCGCCACCACAUAUCCUUAACCGUAUCAAUUUCGGUUCCACUUACCAUCUUCCGCCACCAAUUCCGCCACCACAUAUCCAUAUCCGUAUCAUUGUCGAUUUCACAUACCGUAUCAAAUCAGGUUUAUUUUGUUUUCCUUUUUAGAGUUUGCUUCCCGUACGAAGAGAUCUCGAUCCGAUCUGUAAGUUGAUAUAAGUCCGGAAAGUUUCGGCCGCAAGGAAAGAGGAGGGGAGUAAAAAAAAAAGAGUCUGGAAUCAUCUCUGAAAAAAAAUUUAGCAUACACUAUUUUUAUACUUCCGGGAUCGUUUUUAGCUAACCGCCAUCAUAGCAGAAAUUUUGAGACGUCUGCACGCUUUCCAGAGCAGCUUUUUGCAGUUUCAGUUUUUGGCCACACAUAUUUUCGAGGCUAUCUAGGUUUUAGACCUUGCUUCUCGUUUUGAGUCACGUUCCAUCAUAGUGAGUUUUCGUAUAUAUCUGUCUGUUUCCUAGCACUGUACCUGUUGCUUUUGGUGUCGUGGCGUAACUCCCAGGUGUUCUAGGCUCGCGUCUCUAGCACGGUAUUGCCUAGGGCCAGCACGGUACCGUCGUUGAGCUAUUAUUCAACUUGUGGCAUUACUGUUUUGAAUUGUUGCUACAGAUAUUAGGAUACAGCCACCCAGAGCUCCACAUAUUCCUACACCGUGCGUUGACACCGCCUGGCAAUCGCUUUAUUCAAUCUUCCUGAGGUUUAAUCACAACGGUUGCUAGUCACCACCUGCUGCAGGGUAAGAACGGGUAAGAAUCUUGGUUUGCUUGACAGAUUACGCGUUCUCCACCACUUGCCCGAAGCAUAUACACCCAUAUUGCUGUGCUUUUUGAAUACUAAUCAUGACAGGUGGGGAGGAGACUUCAGAACCAACAAGCGCCGAAGUACAGGCGAACUUCACCAAGCUUUUGGACGAUCACAUGCAGGACGUCGACAAACGCUUUAAUGAUACGAUGGAACACCUUGAGGGCCUCGAAACAUCUUUCACCGACAAGCUCGACGCCAAAUUCCGGGAGUUGAUGGCGCGCUUGCCACAACCUACCGCCACUCGGGCUCCCCCUCUCCACGCAUUCGCUGGGCGGGCACAGCGUGUUCCCGUUCACCAAGGUCAAACCUCGGCUGCUGCUGCUCGUGAGGAGCAACAUGAGGAGUCUUACGGGGACGACGAGUCCGAGGGCGAGCGAGAGGAUGAGGGGGAAGUUCUACAAUGGUAGAUAUAAUCCUGAUGCAUACCUUUCAUGGGAAUUAGAAGUACAACAAUGUUUUACAUGCUUAAAUUAUCCAGAGGAUAGACGUGUUAGUGCUGCUACUUGUGAGUUCACUAGUUUUGCUUCCAUCUGGUGGACUGAAUAUUGUCGUGUUAAUUAUGCUAAUCCAGUCACUACAUGGGAUGCUUUGAAACGGGCCAUGCGAACUCGUUUUGUGCCACCAUCAUAUCAGCGUACCUUGCUCAACAAAUUAACACGUUUAGAUCAGGGCAAACAUUCUGUAGAAGAGUACUAUCAAGAAUUACAAACUGGUAUGAUGCGUUGUGGCAUAGUGGAAGAUAAUGAAGCUUUACUUGCAUGAUUUUUCGGCGGGUUAAAUAAGGAGAUUCAGACCAUUCUUCGAUAUAAGUCAUACCAUACUAUAACUCGUUUGUUCCACCUUGCUUGCAAUGCUGAAUGUGAAGUGCAGGAUCGGAGAGAGGCGACCAGAACUAACUUUUCUACAGGGAAUUCUAAUUCUUGGAGAACAUCGCCUUCUUCGUCACGGGCUGCUGCACCAUCCACUUCCACUUCCACACCCACGCGAGCUACAACUACUACAUCGCCUCAUGUUGCCGCCAAGCGUGCCUCCGUUGGACCCGCACCAAGUUCUUCUUCCUCCAUGGCGUCUACGGGCAAAACCAGCCAGAUUCAAUGCCGCAAAUGCAGCGGGCUUGGCCACUUUGUGCGUGAUUGCCCCUCCCCUCGUGUGAUGAUCGCUCUUGAGGACGGUGGUUAUGAUUCCGCCAGUGAUUAUGAUGAGGACACUUUAGCUCUUCUUGCACAUGAGGAGCAAUGCGCUGCAGCAAACAAGGAGCACGAUUCCCACUUUAUGGCUGCCGAAGAUGCUGAGAAAUACCCAAGCUUAAUUGCACAGCGAGUUUUGAGUGCACAAGUGACGAAGGCCUGAACCAAAUCAGCGCCAUAAUUUGUUCCAUACCAAGGGUGUGGUAAAAGAUCGAUGUGUUCGCAUUAUUAUUGGUGUGGUAAAAGAUCGAUGUGUUCGCAUUAUUAUUGAUGGUGGGAGCUGUAAUAAUUUGGCGAGUAUGGAGAUGGUGGAGAAGCUUUCUCUCACGACACGACUCCACCCUCGUCCGUACCACAUUCAAUGGUUUAACAACAGCGGCAAAGUUAAGGUAACACGUACUGCUCGUCUGCAUUUUACUAUUGCCGCAUAUGCUGAUUAUGUUGAGUGUGAUGUUGUACCUAUGCAAGCAUGUGCUCUUUUACUUGGUAGACCAUGGCAAUUUGACACAAAUUCUGUACACCAUGGUAGCACAAACCAAUACUCUCUUGUUCAUAAUGAUAAGCCAAUUGUGCUACUUCCUAUGUCUCCUGAAAGUAUUUUAAAAGAUGAUCUUGCUAGAGCUAGUAGAGCACAUAAUGAGGAGAAAACGUUGAGUGAAAAUCAGAUGGUUGCUAAGGAACUUAUGCCUUCUAAAAGUACUUCCAAAUCUGCACCUAAACAUGCUAAUGAAAUUCGUUUGAAGAGUACUUGCUUGCUUGCUAGCAAAUCUGAUAUUUCUGAAAUUGAUGUGAGUACUACCACAUGUUAUGCUAUUGUUUGCACAGAGGUCCUGUUUUCAUUCGAGGAGAUGCCUCCCUCUUUGCCACCUGCUGUUGCUAACAUUUUGCAGGAGUUUGUGGAUGUUUUUCCACAAGAUGUACCUCCGGGACUGCCACCUAUUCGCGGAAUCGAGCAUCAAAUUGACUUAAUUCCUGGAGCAUCGCUGCCCAACCGUGCGCCCUAUCGUACCAACCCGGAGGAAACCAAAGAAAUUCAGCGCCAAAUUCAAGCACUACUCGACAAAUGUCACAUUCGUGAGUCUCUUAGCCCUUGUGCUGUACCUAUUAUUUUGGUUCCAAAGAAAGAUGGUUCAUCACGCAUGUGUACUGAUUGUCGCGCUAUCAAUAAUAUUACCAUUCGUUACCGUCAUCCUAUACCACGAUUAGAUGAUAUGCUAGAUGAAUUGAGUGGCUCCACCAUAUUCUCUAAAGUUGAUUUGCGUAGUGGUUACCACCAGAUUCGUAUGAAGUUAGGAGAUGAAUAGAAAACAGCAUUUAAAACAAAGUUCGGUUUAUAUGAGUGGUUAGUAAUGCCUUUUGGUUUAACUAAUGCUCCCAGCACAUUCAUGCGAUUAAUGAAUGAAGUUUUACGUGCUUUUAUUGGGCGUUUUGUGGUGGUAUACUUUGAUGAUAUUCUUAUUUAUAGCACAUCGUUAGAGGAACAUUUGGAUCAUUUACGUGCUGUUUUUAAUGCUUUACGCGAUGCACGUUUGUUUGGUAAUCUCGAGGAGUGCACCUUCUGCACCGAUCGAGUUGCUUUUCUUGGCUUUGUUGUGACAGCGCAGGGCAUUGAAGUUGAUCCUGCCAAGAUUGAGGCCAUUUCGAGUUGGCCUCCACCAAAAACGGUCACACAAGUGCGGAGUUUUCUUGGACUCGCGGGGUUCUAUAGGCGCUUUGUCAAAGAUUUAGGAUCCAUUGCUGCGCCGCUGAACGAGCUUACAAAGAAAGAUGUUCCCUUUGUUUGGGGUGAUGCACAACAAGACGCUUUCAUGUUACUGAAAGACAGGUUAACUCAUGCUCCUUUAUUACAACUUCCUAAUUUCAAUAAGACAUUUGAACUUGAAUGUGAUGCUAGUGGUAUUGGAUUGGGAGGUGUCUUGUUACAAGAGGGUAAACCUGUUGCAUAUUUUAGUGAAAAACUAAGUGGGCCAAGUCUGAAUUAUUCUACUUAUGAUAAAGAGUUAUAUGCACUGGUUUGGACAUUAGAAACUUGGCAACAUUAUUUAUGGCAUAAAGAAUUUGUUAUACAUUCUGAUCAUGAAUCUUUGAAGCACAUUCGUAGUCAAGCUAAGUUGAAUAAGCGUCAUGCAAAAUGGGUUGAAUUUAUUGAAUCUUUUCCUUAUGUUAUUAAACACAAAAAGGGUAAAGAUAAUGUUAUUGCUAAUGCUUUGUCACGCCGUUAUACCAUGUUAUCUCAGCUUGAUUUUCGCAUUUUUGGAUUGGAAACUAUCAAACAACAAUAUGCGCAUGAUGUUGAUUUUAAAGAUGUAUUGCAGAAUUGUAAAGAAGGGAAAACUUGGAACAAAUUCGUCCUCAAUGAUGGAUUUGUGUUCCGUGCUAACAAACUAUGUAUUCAGGAUAGUUCCGUUCGUCUUUUGUUGUUGCAGGAGGCGCAUGGAGGAGGUUUAAUGGGUCACUUUGGUGUGAAGAUGAAGCGAUCCCCCUUCACAAGGGUUCGAUCUCUGUGCUUACUUGUGCUAGUCCCUGGAUCGACUCACUAGCACACACAGUUCAAGAUGUAAUACCAAGAUACAAAGGUCAAAAGUACUUUAUUACAUCGUAUCAUCCAGAACUUAAAUUGUACUUACAAACUUGCAUGACAUCUUGGGCCAGCAUAAACAAAUAAUGUUCAAAACCAUGACAACAAUGUAUCAUGAAACUGCAGCGGAAAAGUAGAGUAAAAGGGCCUCAUCUACUCCCAGAGGAGAGAGCAUGUUGGAAUGUAAGCACAUGACCCAUGACAAAACGACAAGCCUCACUCAUCGUCGGAUCCACCUGCAUUGUUAAUUGCAGCCACUACGUGGUCAAUACAUUUGAAUGUAUUGGCAAGCUCUCUAGAGUUAUAAAGGACCUACCAAGUACAUGCAUAGUUUGGCUAAGUGGGGUUUGGCUAUUUUGCAUAAAAGCAUCAUUAUUCAAAUCCUAUCGUUUUUAGACAAAUAGUUUUGAAUUCUAUUGGACACGGGGUAGAAACACCCAUGCUCCUAUUAACCUAGGCACAUUGAGUAGAAACAUCAAUGCUCCUACCCAGUUCAAACCAUUCAUUUUAUUAGGAAAUUGGAAUGAGUGAGACUUUUCUUACAGCUCCAAUAUCUAGUUGCUCAUAAUUGUCCGUAACCGGGGACACGGCUAAGUACUUAGUUUGACACUCUCGAGAGGUGGUACACUUUACCCACAAGAAAUCGACGUGUUAAUCCCUUGCUGUCCUCCAGGUGGAGUAGCAACGGCAUCGAUUACAGGAAUUUUCAGAACAUAUUCCCCCAAACCACCUGAGGGACGCGCCCCCACCUACACUGCUACAUACCGAUGUCACCUCGGAUCCAGGUUCAUAUUUCUUACAUCCAUCCUGGCAGAGCCCAUAAUACCAUGUGGUUGUACUGGAAGCUACUAAACAGGAAACUAGUCCAGUCUCUGGUUAUCCCGGGUGGCAUCCCACAUUGUGACGCAGGCGCUCCCCGAAUCGCACGGGGAGACGACCAUGGACGCUCCCGAAUCACACGGAGAGACGACUCAGCGGGCCCCAUAGAAAUGGACCUAACGUCACGACAUCCGAAAACUCAAAGCAGCCCACCCAGGAUGGUUCAUUGAAUUACUUGUUUUGCCAUACGCUAGGAAAUUCAUAUUGUAAUUCAAUAGUAUCACAUUGUAUUAAUACCACCCUCGUAUAUUAUCAUAGCAUAGCAUUUUACUACUACGAUGGCAAUUGGUGGUAAGGUCAUGACAAAGGGUAUCAUAUACUACUAGGACAGAUCAUAGCUAGCAUAGAUACAAUAAUAAUCCUGACAAUGCAACUAAUAAAAUCUAGUGCAUAAUAAAAUAAUAGGAUGAUGGUCAAAGUGAACUUGCCUUGAUAGUAGUUGGAGUUCAAACACUCGUCACAAUCGCAAGGUUCGCUCUCCGAGACUACUAUACAAUCAACAAACAUAUACACACACAUAAACACAUAAUACAAACAUGACAAAAGAAUAUGUAUGCCAUGAUGCGAUGCAAAACAUAUGACAUGGGUGGGUGGAUUUUAUUUGGGUGAUCUACUGGUCCAAGGCAUUGAUAAUUAGGCACAUGCAAUUAGGGUUUUUAAAUGAAUUGCAAAGCCUAGGGUUUAAACCCUAAAAUGAGGUUUUAUUAGCAUCAGCCAAAUAGAUUAAUUCAAAACAUUUGUUUCUCUGUCCCAUUGGACAGAGGACAUUAAAACAAAAUUUUGGGCACUGGUUUCAUUCAAAAAGGACUUCUAAAUAAUUAGUUAUGAUUUAAAUGGUAUGAACCCUAAUCUGUAAUUUGAAUGUGAUUCAAGUAUUCAAAUUUAAAUUUGGACAGUGCCAAAAGAUUCUACACUUUCUAAGGAUUCCAAAAAGGUGUGGAUCAUUAAAUUUGGCCAAACAGAUUUAAAGUUAUGAUCAUUUGAAGUUACAGGGGCCUAUCUGCAAAAGUGCCUUUUAUUAUUUCCGGGGGAUUAAAAUUACAUUUUAUUUUAUAAAACCGGGUGCCACGUGGCGUUAUCUUAUUCAUCGGUACCGGUUCGGUUUAUAAAGAAAUAAAAUGUUCUAAUCCCGACCGUUGAUCAAGAUCCAACGGCCGAGAUCGAAGAUGGGCUCACCGGAGCUAGGGUUUCGGCCGGGGGAGAUUCCGGCGAGUGACGGGGUGCGGCGGCGGGCGGUUCCGGCGUCGGGGCGGCUCGGGGAGAUCACGGGCGAGGGCGGUGCGGGGCGGCGAGGCCGGUGGCGCGGUCAGCGCGGCGCGGGGCGGUCGGGGCGACGCCAAGGUCGGCGCGAAGACGGCGGCGCGGGCGGCGGAUUCCGGCGAAGCUCGGGGUGCGACGGGGCGGUGCUGCAGGGCACGGGAGCAAAGGCGGCGCGCGUCAAACGAAGCGCAAGGACGAGGGGCUCCAAAAAUUUGAAAGCGCAGGAAAACUGGCUCACCGGCGAGGUCGGGGCGGCGCGGUGAAUGGCGGCGGCGGCGGAGCUUUCCGGCGACGAAUUAGGGCGGCCUGGCGGCGUGCGAGCGGGGGCGAGAAGAGGGAAAAAGAAGCGGGGAGGCGGAGCUUUAUAAUGACGCGGGCGGAGCACUUCGGGAAGGCCGAAAUCGGCGGGGAGCGGUGAUGGCGGCGGCGACUGCGCGCGGGUCGGGCGGCGUGACGCGCGGGGCUUUCCUCGCGGGGAAGAAGACCCUGACGCGUGGGUCCCACGCGUCAGCGGCAGCGGGCGCGCGCGCACGUGGCUGGGCCGGUCGGGUCGGCUCGGGCGCGGUCGGACCAGGCCGGUUCGGUCCGGUUUUCUAUUUUUUUUCUUUUAGCCUUUUCUUUUUCUGCUUUUCUCAUUUCUUUGAUAUCUUUUGAGUUUGAGCUCCAAAUUGGCCCAAAUAAAAUCCAGAAAAUUUGUAAAAUCUUGUUCUAUCAAGAUACAACUUUUGGGAGUAGUUUCUCUUCAAAAUAAAAUAUGUAAAAAUACAUUUGCCCUAUAAAUGCUUUAGGGCCAUAUAACUAUUUAAAUAAAAAUACUUUUUCAACUCCAAAUAAUUAACCAAAAAUUAUGGGAUAGCUUAUAUAUGCACUAAACCCUUUUUAUACAUCAACCCUAUUGGUUUGAAAAUCCAAAGGUUACAGGGAUGUAAACAAGAUCUCUUAAAGCCUUUUGUGAUUCAAAAUUUGAAUUCAAACAUGCAAUUGUGGCAUGGUGCUCAUGGAUGCAAUGCACAUGUAAAAGUUUGAAAUUUUGGGAUGUUACAGACCUAACCCCCUUAAGAUGAAUCUCGUCCUCGAGAUUCGGUGUGGCUAGCAAAGAGGUGUGGGUGGUCUUCUCGAAGAUCAACUUCGCGUUCCCAAGUGGCUUCUUCUUCUGUGUGAUGUUCCCACUGAACUUUGCAAAACUUGAUGGUCUUGGAUCGGGUCUGUCUCUCAGCUGUGUCCAAGAUCCUGAUCGGUUUCUCCUCAUAUGUGAGGUCACUCUGCAAUUGGACUUCUUCUAGAGGUAUCGUAUCCCUUAGGGGUGUGUCGGCCAUCUCGGGGUGACACUUCUUCAGUUGCGAUACGUGGAAGACGUUGUGGACAUUGGACAGUGUUUCCGGCAAAUCCAACUUGUAGGCUACCUCUCCUUGUCGUGACAAGAUCUUGAAAGGUCCAAUGAAACGGGGUGCUAGUUUCCCUUUUAUACCAAAUCUAUUUACCCCGCGUAUCGGUGAAACUCUGAGAUACGCUCUGUCUUCAGCCUCGUAGAUGACUUCCCUACGUUUAGAAUCUGCGUAGCUUUUCUGCCUUGACUGGGCUACUUUCAGCCGGUCUCGGAUGAGUCUAACUUUUUCCUCGGCAUCCUUGAUCAUAUCUGGGCCGAAUAGGCUACGAUCUCCUACACCAUCCCAUAACAAUGGUGUUCUGCAUUUCCUUCCAUACAAAGCUUCAAACGGUGACAUUCCAAUGCUGGUUUGGAAACUGUUGUUGUAUGAGAAUUCUGCAUAAGGCAAAUUGUCAUCCCAACUAGACCCAUAAUCUAGAGCGCAAGCUCUCAACAUAUCUUCAAGGAUCUGAUUUACUCUCUCGGUCUGUCCAUCCGUCUGCGGAUGAAAGGCUGUACUGAAUUCUAGUCUUGUUCCUAGAGACUCAUGUAGUUGUCCCCAAAAUCUUGAGGUAAAUUGAGUACCUCUGUCUGAAACUAUUUCCUUGGGUACUCCGUGUAAACACACUAUUCUGGACAUGUAGCGUUUCGCUAACUGUGCACUGGUGUAUGUAGUCUUCACUGGUAUGAAGUGGGCAACCUUGCUCAAACGGUCAACCACUACCCAAAUGGAAUCAUAUCCUGAUCUAGUCCUUGGUAGCCCGGUGAUAAAGUCCAUGCCGACUUUAUCCCAUUUCCAGUCCGGUAUAGGCAAUGGUCUCAGUAACCCUGCUGGCUUCUGGUGUUCUGCCUUAACUCUGCUGCACACAUCGCACAAGGCAAUGAACUCUGCGAUGUCACGCUUCAAUCCGGACCACCAAAAUGUUUCCUUGAGGUCCAUGUACAUCUUUGUGUUUCCAGGGUGGAUUGAGUAUGGUGAAUCGUGGGCUUCUUGCAGAAUUAACUUUUUGAUUUCCGGAUCUUGCGGUACGCAAAUGCGUCUUCCGAACCAUAUGGUACUCUGAUCGUCUUCUCGAAACUCUUUGGCCUUUCCAGUAAGCAUAUUCUCUUUUAUUUCCUUAAUUUCUGAGUCGUCCUUCUGUGCUUCUCUGAUCCUAUCCAGCAACGUGGGCUGUACUUUCAAGGUGGCUAAAUAACCUUCAGGUACUAUUUCCAGUCUGAGGUCUUUGAACUGUUCGCACAACUCUGGUGGUAACUCUCCAGCUGUUAGUCCAUUUACAUAGCCCUUGCGGCUCAAUGCAUCGGCUACAACGUUAGCCUUGCCUGGAUGAUAUUGUAGACUCAGGUCAUAAUCCUUUAUCAGUUCUAACCAUCUUCUCUGCCUCAGGUUCAGCUCCUUCUGGGUGAAUAUAUAUUUCAGGCUCUUGUGAUCCGUGAACAGCUCACAAUGCUUUCCCAUCAGAUAGUGCCUCCAGGUCUUCAGGGCGUGCACUACCGAUGCUAAUUCCAAGUCAUGAGUGGGGUAGUUGCCUUCGUGGCUCUUUAGUUGCCGCGAAGCGUAUGCUACAACUCUUCCUCCUUGCAUUAACACUCCUCCCAAUCCUUGACGUGAGGCGUCACAGUAUACUUGAAAAUCCUCCUGUAGGUCAGGCAAAACAAGGAUGGGUGCGGACACUAGCCUUUUCUUCAAUUCUUGGAAACUCUCUUCACAAAACUCAUUCCAGGCAAACUUCUUCUCUUUCUUUAACAGCUCUGUCAUGGGUUUCGCCAUUUUGGAGAAAUUCUCAAUGAAUCUCCGAUAGUAACCAGCAAGUCCAAGGAAACUACGGACUUCUCCGACGUUCUUCGGUGCCUCCCAUUCUGUAACUGCUGCAACCUUAGCUGGGUCAACGGCUACUCCGGCUCCUGACACUAUGUGUCCAAGAAAGCUGACUUCUGAUAACCAAAAUUCACACUUGCUGAAUUUGGCGUACAGCUGGCGCAUUCUCAACUUCUCCAAAAUCAUGCGCAGAUGCUGCUCAUGUUCCUUUUUGCUCUUGGAAUAGAUCAGAAUGUCAUCGAUGAAUACUACGACGAACUUGUCCAAGAAUUCCAUGAACACCUUGUUCAUCAUGUUCAUGAAGUAUGCAGGUGCAUUGGUCAAACCAAAAGGCAUCACGGUGUACUCGUACAGUCCAUACCUAGUGGUGAAUGCUGUCUUGGGUAUAUCCAUCUCCUGGAUUUUCAGCUGAAAAUACCCUGAUCGCAGAUCGAUCUUUGAGAACACUUGAGCUCCCUUCAACUGGUCGAAUAGGUCAUUGAUUAAGGGCAAAGGAUACUUAUUCUUUAUCGUCACCUCGUUGAGUGAACGAUAGUCAAUGCACAUCCGUUGGCUCUUGUCCUUCUUUUCUACAAACAGGACAGGUGCUCCCCAUGGUGAUGAACUGGGACGGAUGAACCCUUUCGCUAACUGUUCCGCUAGCUGCUUUUUCAAUUCUUUCAACUCGUCCACAGCCAUCUUAUAUGGUCUCUUGGCUAUGGGUCCACUUCCUGGCAUUAACUCAAUAAGGAACUCCACAUCACGGUCCGGUGGCAUGCCUGGUAAUUCCUCUGGAAAUACGUCUGGGUAUUCCUUCACUAUUGGUACUUCGUCCAUGCUAACCCCCUUAAGAGCAUUAACCUUGGGUCUCUUAAGCUCAUGGGUUGACUUGUACCGGAUGCGUCUCUUGUCUGGGGUAGUGAGUGUGACAGUCCUCUGGGCACAGUCUACUAAUCCUUCAUAUAAGGUCAACCAGUCCAUUCCCAGGAUUAGGUCCAGUCCUCGGGAAUCUAUAACUAUGAGAUCAGAGGGAAAAAUGUGUCUCCCAAUACUUAGGGGUAGCUGGCGACAGUGUCGGGUUGCUAGUAUUGUUCCACCCGGUGAGUUCACUUUCAUGGGUCUAGCCAUGGUCUUAGAGGUUAAUUUGCCUCUUUCUACCAAUACUCUUGAAAUGAAUGAAUGCGAUGCUCCAGUGUCAAAUAGAACUAAUACUUCAUAAGCAUUAAUGUGGAAGGUGCCAAGUAUGAUACCUGGUUCCUCGGUGAUCUCUUCCACAUCCACGUGAUUCACGUGGCCCUUCUGGAAUGGAUUGGGCUUGUUCCCAGUGCCAUCCUGGUUGUCCGGGCAGUUGGUGGCAUAGUGUCCCAUCUUGUGACACUUGUAGCACUCCACCUUGCUCAUGUCCUUAUUGGCAUUGUGGUUCUGACCAUUGUUGUUCUGGCCAUUGCCGUUGUUCCUGCCGUUCCCGUUGCCAUUGAUGGGCCUUGGGCGAGCGAACUGGUGCUGUUGCUGAGGCUGGUGCUGUGGAUGGUGCCGGUUCACAUUGCCACCCUGAUGGUGGUGUCCUUGGCUUCCCUGGCGGUGGUGGUGACUAUUACCUCCACUGCGGUGGUUGCUCUGGUUCCCGUUCCUGCUCAAGGAGGAACUGCCACUUCCAUCAUAGGAGGUGCGCUGCUUCUGGUGCGGUCCAGUGUGAGAGCCCCCUUGGUGAAGUCUUUUCUUGCGGCUCUCCAUUUGAGUGAGCUUGCUUUCCAAAAUAAUGGCCUUGUCGAUCAAGGACUGGUAGGUCGGGGUGUAAGCAAUAGCAAGUUGAACUGACAGCUCGUCGUUCAGACCAUCCAAGAACUUCUCUCUGCGCUUGGCGUCGGUGUUCACAUCGUCCGGUGCAUAGCGGGACAGCUGGUUGAAUACUUCUAUGUACUCUGACACAGAGCGGCUUCCUUGUCGUAGUCUGUGAAACUCCUUCUUCUUCAGGCUGAGCACUCCCGCAGAGAUGUGGGCAGUGCGGAAGGCUUCCUGGAACAUGUCCCAGGUGACAUCCUCGAUGGGGGUGGUGAUCUGAAAAUUUUCCCACCAUGACGCUGCGGGUCCUUCUAGCAAAUGAGCUGCAAACCGCACCUUCUCUUCGUCAGUGCAGUUGAUGGUGACCAAGUUCUUGUUGACUGACCGGAGCCAAUCGUCAGCCAUAAUAGGCUCAGUGGAGUUAGAAAAAGUGGGCGGGCGCAAACGUAGGAAUCUGGUCAGCAUAUCCACUUGGGGUGGGUGGUGUUGCUGGUUGUUCUGGUUCUGCUGGUGGUUGGCAUUGUUGUUGGCCAAUUGCUGGGUGAUCAUCUGGAAGAAUUGGGUCUGAGCGGCCAAUAACUGUUGCAUGGUGGCAGCGUUUCCGUCAGCUUCGGCAUUGUUAGCCUCAGCGUUGUUGGCGGGGUUCCGGCGUCUCGGAGGCAUCUGCUUAGGGUAGCAUAGAUGAGGAAAACAGAUAGAAUAGAGCUAAGGAUAACUAAACCCUCAAAACCAGGUAGUAACUCAAGCAUAUAACAAUCAUACACUCAUCAACAUAAAAGGUUUUGAAAAAUCAUAACAAAACACACUUGUUUAUGGUGGGGCAUUGCCCAUAAAGAAAAGAGUACGAGGAGAAAGCAAUCGACCUACAUUUCCAUACACAUAGAUUGUAUGGUCAAUGACUAACUCGCACUACCUAUAGCUAGAAGAAAAGAUAAAGUCUGGUAGGCAUCAACAGAUCUAAGGGAGUGUGGCUGUCGGUGUGGUCCCGUUCGCCUUCAUCUUGGAGCGGGUGUUUGUAGCAGGGGUGUCCAUCUCGUGGACCUCCUGGGGCUCCUCCUCCUCAGUCGGCUCCUCCUCCUGAGCCUCCAUCUCCUGAUCCUGUGGUGGAGGUGGGACCUGGUCUGGCGCCGGCGCGGCAGCUGGUGCUGCUGCGGCUGCUGCUGCGAUGAACGCUUGGAACUGCUCGCAGUAGUAGCGAGCCUGGUCCCUCUCGUACUGCAGCUGCUCGAUGGCGUCUCCCAUAUUGAGGACAGUGUUCUCCAACACGGCCUUGUCCUCCAGCCACUGGGUCUUCUCUCCCAUCAGGAUACCAACCUGCUCCUCGGCGAGGUCGGCCCUGGUCAUCUCGUGCUCGAGACAAGACUCCAAGUCCACGGUGUUUAUCUCCAUGUUCUCGAAGUGGGUCGUCACUGGGGUCGCAUCCUCGUCGUUGGUCGUAGCCACCGCCGAGCAUGCAUGGUUCCGCCUUCCAAAGAGGAGGAAGGAGGAAUCCUCGGGGAACUCGUGCCGAUAGUCCCGGCACACCUGUGCGAAGGCGCACUGCAUGGCGAACUGAAGGCCCUGCUCGAAGGUGGGGUAGCGGCUGAUGAAGGUGAUAUCCGGUGUAGCUGGCGCGAUCUCACGCCCCCGGAUCUUCGCCUCGAUCUCCCACCGUGGCUGCCAUCCCUCGGGUGCGGCGGUCUCAACUCGGCCUCUGAACCUGGGUGGUGGCAGGUCGAGGAAAGCACACAGUGCCGCCAAAGGGGCACUGAACAGCUGGUCGUCGUCCGUGGAAGGGUAGUAGACGCGGGUGAACGGCGGUACAUUGCCGAACGGUGUUGGGCUUCCCAUCUAUAGAAAAUAAAGAAGGAGAUAAGGGAGUAUCAGUGACAUGAUCAAAUGGUCGAAUGUAAGUAAAAAUAAAAUAAAAGUGGUAGAGUGGGAAUCAAGUGAUGAACAUUAAUAUCAAGGGUGGAAAUGUAAAUAUAAAAUUGGAUGCAUACUAACAUGUGAACAACAUGGCAACAUGAUUAUAGUGGUGUAUGGUGUAAAAAUCGAAUAUGCAUCUGUGGUAAAAUAUAUUAAGCAUGCAUAUGUGGUAAUAAACAUAGUAUUCGGUGUAUAUGUGGAAUAAAACAAUACACAUGUCAUGCAUAUGUAAGUUAUAAAUGCAAAGAGUUAGAUGAAUAGGGAUAAGGAAUAAAAUGUAUGUAUAAAGAUAUAGAUCAGAAAGGGAUGAGAAAUAUUCCUAAGGUUUGGUCUUUGUUCUUGUCUUAUCUUAAUCCAAACUAGGGUCACGUUCCUACAGGCAACACUUUGCUCUGAUACCAUCUGAAGCGAUCCCCCUUCACAAGGGUUCGAUCUCUGUGCUUACUUGUGCUAGUCCCUGGAUCGACUCACUAGCACACACAGUUCAAGAUGUAAUACCAAGAUACAAAGGUCAAAAGUACUUUAUUACAUCGUAUCAUCCAGAACUUAAAUUGUACUUACAAACUUGCAUGACAUCUUGGGCCAGCAUAAACAAAUAAUGUUCAAAACCAUGACAACAAUGUAUCAUGAAACUGCAGCGGAAAAGUAGAGUAAAAGGGCCUCAUCUACUCCCAGAGGAGAGAGCAUGUUGGAAUGUAAGCACAUGACCCAUGACAAAACGACAAGCCUCACUCAUCGUCGGAUCCACCUGCAUUGUUAAUUGCAGCCACUACGUGGUCAAUACAUUUGAAUGUAUUGGCAAGCUCUCUAGAGUUAUAAAGGACCUACCAAGUACAUGCAUAGUUUGGCUAAGUGGGGUUUGGCUAUUUUGCAUAAAAGCAUCAUUAUUCAAAUCCUAUCGUUUUUAGACAAAUAGUUUUGAAUUCUAUUGGACACGGGGUAGAAACACCCAUGCUCCUAUUAACCUAGGCACAUUGAGUAGAAACAUCAAUGCUCCUACCCAGUUCAAACCAUUCAUUUUAUUAGGAAAUUGGAAUGAGUGAGACUUUUCUUACAGCUCCAAUAUCUAGUUGCUCAUAAUUGUCCGUAACCGGGGACACGGCUAAGUACUUAGUUUGACACUCUCGAGAGGUGGUACACUUUACCCACAAGAAAUCGACGUGUUAAUCCCUUGCUGUCCUCCAGGUGGAGUAGCAACGGCAUCGAUUACAGGAAUUUUCAGAACAUAUUCCCCCAAACCACCUGAGGGACGCGCCCCCACCUACACUGCUACAUACCGAUGUCACCUCGGAUCCAGGUUCAUAUUUCUUACAUCCAUCCUGGCAGAGCCCAUAAUACCAUGUGGUUGUACUGGAAGCUACUAAACAGGAAACUAGUCCAGUCUCUGGUUAUCCCGGGUGGCAUCCCACAUUGUGACGCAGGCGCUCCCCGAAUCGCACGGGGAGACGACCAUGGACGCUCCCGAAUCACACGGAGAGACGACUCAGCGGGCCCCAUAGAAAUGGACCUAACGUCACGACAUCCGAAAACUCAAAGCAGCCCACCCAGGAUGGUUCAUUGAAUUACUUGUUUUGCCAUACGCUAGGAAAUUCAUAUUGUAAUUCAAUAGUAUCACAUUGUAUUAAUACCACCCUCGUAUAUUAUCAUAGCAUAGCAUUUUACUACUACGAUGGCAAUUGGUGGUAAGGUCAUGACAAAGGGUAUCAUAUACUACUAGGACAGAUCAUAGCUAGCAUAGAUACAAUAAUAAUCCUGACAAUGCAACUAAUAAAAUCUAGUGCAUAAUAAAAUAAUAGGAUGAUGGUCAAAGUGAACUUGCCUUGAUAGUAGUUGGAGUUCAAACACUCGUCACAAUCGCAAGGUUCGCUCUCCGAGACUACUAUACAAUCAACAAACAUAUACACACACAUAAACACAUAAUACAAACAUGACAAAAGAAUAUGUAUGCCAUGAUGCGAUGCAAAACAUAUGACAUGGGUGGGUGGAUUUUAUUUGGGUGAUCUACUGGUCCAAGGCAUUGAUAAUUAGGCACAUGCAAUUAGGGUUUUUAAAUGAAUUGCAAAGCCUAGGGUUUAAACCCUAAAAUGAGGUUUUAUUAGCAUCAGCCAAAUAGAUUAAUUCAAAACAUUUGUUUCUCUGUCCCAUUGGACAGAGGACAUUAAAACAAAAUUUUGGGCACUGGUUUCAUUCAAAAAGGACUUCUAAAUAAUUAGUUAUGAUUUAAAUGGUAUGAACCCUAAUCUGUAAUUUGAAUGUGAUUCAAGUAUUCAAAUUUAAAUUUGGACAGUGCCAAAAGAUUCUACACUUUCUAAGGAUUCCAAAAAGGUGUGGAUCAUUAAAUUUGGCCAAACAGAUUUAAAGUUAUGAUCAUUUGAAGUUACAGGGGCCUAUCUGCAAAAGUGCCUUUUAUUAUUUCCGGGGGAUUAAAAUUACAUUUUAUUUUAUAAAACCGGGUGCCACGUGGCGUUAUCUUAUUCAUCGGUACCGGUUCGGUUUAUAAAGAAAUAAAAUGUUCUAAUCCCGACCGUUGAUCAAGAUCCAACGGCCGAGAUCGAAGAUGGGCUCACCGGAGCUAGGGUUUCGGCCGGGGGAGAUUCCGGCGAGUGACGGGGUGCGGCGGCGGGCGGUUCCGGCGUCGGGGCGGCUCGGGGAGAUCACGGGCGAGGGCGGUGCGGGGCGGCGAGGCCGGUGGCGCGGUCAGCGCGGCGCGGGGCGGUCGGGGCGACGCCAAGGUCGGCGCGAAGACGGCGGCGCGGGCGGCGGAUUCCGGCGAAGCUCGGGGUGCGACGGGGCGGUGCUGCAGGGCACGGGAGCAAAGGCGGCGCGCGUCAAACGAAGCGCAAGGACGAGGGGCUCCAAAAAUUUGAAAGCGCAGGAAAACUGGCUCACCGGCGAGGUCGGGGCGGCGCGGUGAAUGGCGGCGGCGGCGGAGCUUUCCGGCGACGAAUUAGGGCGGCCUGGCGGCGUGCGAGCGGGGGCGAGAAGAGGGAAAAAGAAGCGGGGAGGCGGAGCUUUAUAAUGACGCGGGCGGAGCACUUCGGGAAGGCCGAAAUCGGCGGGGAGCGGUGAUGGCGGCGGCGACUGCGCGCGGGUCGGGCGGCGUGACGCGCGGGGCUUUCCUCGCGGGGAAGAAGACCCUGACGCGUGGGUCCCACGCGUCAGCGGCAGCGGGCGCGCGCGCACGUGGCUGGGCCGGUCGGGUCGGCUCGGGCGCGGUCGGACCAGGCCGGUUCGGUCCGGUUUUCUAUUUUUUUUCUUUUAGCCUUUUCUUUUUCUGCUUUUCUCAUUUCUUUGAUAUCUUUUGAGUUUGAGCUCCAAAUUGGCCCAAAUAAAAUCCAGAAAAUUUGUAAAAUCUUGUUCUAUCAAGAUACAACUUUUGGGAGUAGUUUCUCUUCAAAAUAAAAUAUGUAAAAAUACAUUUGCCCUAUAAAUGCUUUAGGGCCAUAUAACUAUUUAAAUAAAAAUACUUUUUCAACUCCAAAUAAUUAACCAAAAAUUAUGGGAUAGCUUAUAUAUGCACUAAACCCUUUUUAUACAUCAACCCUAUUGGUUUGAAAAUCCAAAGGUUACAGGGAUGUAAACAAGAUCUCUUAAAGCCUUUUGUGAUUCAAAAUUUGAAUUCAAACAUGCAAUUGUGGCAUGGUGCUCAUGGAUGCAAUGCACAUGUAAAAGUUUGAAAUUUUGGGAUGUUACAGACCUAACCCCCUUAAGAUGAAUCUCGUCCUCGAGAUUCGGUGUGGCUAGCAAAGAGGUGUGGGUGGUCUUCUCGAAGAUCAACUUCGCGUUCCCAAGUGGCUUCUUCUUCUGUGUGAUGUUCCCACUGAACUUUGCAAAACUUGAUGGUCUUGGAUCGGGUCUGUCUCUCAGCUGUGUCCAAGAUCCUGAUCGGUUUCUCCUCAUAUGUGAGGUCACUCUGCAAUUGGACUUCUUCUAGAGGUAUCGUAUCCCUUAGGGGUGUGUCGGCCAUCUCGGGGUGACACUUCUUCAGUUGCGAUACGUGGAAGACGUUGUGGACAUUGGACAGUGUUUCCGGCAAAUCCAACUUGUAGGCUACCUCUCCUUGUCGUGACAAGAUCUUGAAAGGUCCAAUGAAACGGGGUGCUAGUUUCCCUUUUAUACCAAAUCUAUUUACCCCGCGUAUCGGUGAAACUCUGAGAUACGCUCUGUCUUCAGCCUCGUAGAUGACUUCCCUACGUUUAGAAUCUGCGUAGCUUUUCUGCCUUGACUGGGCUACUUUCAGCCGGUCUCGGAUGAGUCUAACUUUUUCCUCGGCAUCCUUGAUCAUAUCUGGGCCGAAUAGGCUACGAUCUCCUACACCAUCCCAUAACAAUGGUGUUCUGCAUUUCCUUCCAUACAAAGCUUCAAACGGUGACAUUCCAAUGCUGGUUUGGAAACUGUUGUUGUAUGAGAAUUCUGCAUAAGGCAAAUUGUCAUCCCAACUAGACCCAUAAUCUAGAGCGCAAGCUCUCAACAUAUCUUCAAGGAUCUGAUUUACUCUCUCGGUCUGUCCAUCCGUCUGCGGAUGAAAGGCUGUACUGAAUUCUAGUCUUGUUCCUAGAGACUCAUGUAGUUGUCCCCAAAAUCUUGAGGUAAAUUGAGUACCUCUGUCUGAAACUAUUUCCUUGGGUACUCCGUGUAAACACACUAUUCUGGACAUGUAGCGUUUCGCUAACUGUGCACUGGUGUAUGUAGUCUUCACUGGUAUGAAGUGGGCAACCUUGCUCAAACGGUCAACCACUACCCAAAUGGAAUCAUAUCCUGAUCUAGUCCUUGGUAGCCCGGUGAUAAAGUCCAUGCCGACUUUAUCCCAUUUCCAGUCCGGUAUAGGCAAUGGUCUCAGUAACCCUGCUGGCUUCUGGUGUUCUGCCUUAACUCUGCUGCACACAUCGCACAAGGCAAUGAACUCUGCGAUGUCACGCUUCAAUCCGGACCACCAAAAUGUUUCCUUGAGGUCCAUGUACAUCUUUGUGUUUCCAGGGUGGAUUGAGUAUGGUGAAUCGUGGGCUUCUUGCAGAAUUAACUUUUUGAUUUCCGGAUCUUGCGGUACGCAAAUGCGUCUUCCGAACCAUAUGGUACUCUGAUCGUCUUCUCGAAACUCUUUGGCCUUUCCAGUAAGCAUAUUCUCUUUUAUUUCCUUAAUUUCUGAGUCGUCCUUCUGUGCUUCUCUGAUCCUAUCCAGCAACGUGGGCUGUACUUUCAAGGUGGCUAAAUAACCUUCAGGUACUAUUUCCAGUCUGAGGUCUUUGAACUGUUCGCACAACUCUGGUGGUAACUCUCCAGCUGUUAGUCCAUUUACAUAGCCCUUGCGGCUCAAUGCAUCGGCUACAACGUUAGCCUUGCCUGGAUGAUAUUGUAGACUUAGGCUUGCCUCGUACACAGAAGGGGAGGGAUAGUAUUUUUGUCAUUGUGGAUAGAUUUUCCAAAAUGGCACAUUUUAUUCCUUGUCACAAGAGUGAUGAUGCUGCACAUGUUGCUGAUUUGUUCUUUCGUGAAAUUGUUCGUUUGCAUGGCGUGCCAAAUACUAUUGUUUCAGAUCGUGAUACCAAGUUUCUUAGUCACUUCUGGAGAUGUUUAUGGGCUAAGUUGGGGACUAAAUUGCUGUUUAGUACUACAUGUCAUCCCCAAACUGAUGGACAAACCGAAGUGGUCAAUAGAACAUUGUCUACUAUGUUGAGGGCUGUUUUAAAGAAGAAUUUAAGAUUGUGGGAAGAAUGUUUACCUCAUAUUGAAUUUGCUUAUAAUCGUUCGCUGCAUUCUACCACUAAGAUGUGCCCUUUUGAGAUUGUAUAUGGUUUUGUUCCUCGUGCACCUAUUGAUUUAUUGCCUUUACCAUCUUCGGUGCAAAAUAAUUUGGACGCUUCACAAUGUGCUGAAUUAAUCUUGAAGUUGCAUGCUACUACUAAGGAAAAUAUAGAACACAUGAAUGCUAAGUUUAAAACUGUUGGAGAUAAGGGCCGAAAGCAUGUUGUGUUUGAUGUUGGCGAUCUCGUUUGGUUGCACUUGCGCAAAGAUCAUUUUCCUGAUUUACGCAAAUCAAAAUUGAUGCCACGGGCUGCUGGUCCUUUUAAGGUGUUAGAACGAAUUAAUGAUAAUGCAUAUAAACUUGAGCUUCCUGCAGAUUUUGGUACGGUAAGUCCGACAUUUAACAUUGCAGAUUUGAAGCCAUAUUUGGGAGAAGAAGAUGACAUUGUGUCAGGGACGACUUCAUUUCAAGAACGGGUGGAUGAUGAGGACAUCCCAUAUGUUGAUACACCUGCAGCACCUACAGUCACAUUACAAGGACCUAUCACAAGAGCUCGCGCACGCCAACUUAAUUAUCAGGUACUUUCGUUUCUUGAAACGAUUCUUCACAUACAUGAGAAUAUGAUGCUGCCUAAAUCAGAUGUAUUUCUCACACUUAGGAAUGAUGGACCUAGCAUGGAUGAGAGGGACAAGCAUUGGAGCAUGAUCACGCAUGGAGAUGAAGGCAGCAAGCGUGCGAGGACUGACGAUGGCACCGCAACGGGAGAUUUCAGAAUGUUGAAGCCACCAUAAUGAGAGAUGAAGACGUGGACGAAAUAUAGAGCUUUUCCCUUCAUAUUUCGUCCACAUAAUUAUAUGGUGUUGCGUCACCUUUUAAGUUUGGGCUAGGCCCAUGUAAUUUUCGUCCACAUACAUGGGCUGAACUUUUGGAGUCCGUAUAGGUGAAGGAAACCAACCUAGAGUGGGUUUCGGCCUCCUUUCCCAAGGCUGGCCGCAUACCCCUCUAGUCCUCCAUAUAUACCCCCGUUAGGUCUUCAUUUAGACUCGGAUUUUGUUUAGUUUGAGACUUAGCUAUUCGCUACUCUUUGCCAUAGGCACAAGUGUCAAAUCGACCUUCUGUACUACGCGCUUGCAGAAUCCCAUCAAUAAAGCUUCACCUUUAUUCGCAAUAUCUUGAUUGCAUCUAUAAUUCUU